AAUUUAUGGCUCUGUGCACCUGACCGACCCUCAAUGAGGGUGUGUGUUGGUGUGCACGGGCCAUUUUUCUGGAGAGCAUAUCUGCCCUUGAUUGGGUUGGGCUAUGUGAUUCAGAUCUCUUACUGUGAGAAAAUCAGAGUGUUCAAAGCAGGCAGCAAUGCUUGUAUGGUUCAGCAUGGAAUAAUAAGAUAAGACUUUGGUUUUAUUUUGUUGGCUAUAGGACCAAAGUAAUGAUGGAAAGGGAUAGUUGGGGGUGCUAGUAUUCAGUGGUCAGCGGUGAAAUGCGAGGACCCAUUGAAGACUAACUUAUGCGAAAGCAUU
rnacentral:rRNA from 1 species